rnacentral:tRNA from 1 species
GCCGGUGUGGCGGAAUGGCAGACGCACAUGACUCAAAAUCAUGCGAGAAAUCAUGAGGGUUCGAGUCCCUCCACCGGCACCA